rnacentral:misc_RNA from 1 species
GGGGCAAGUAGAUAGAUAAUAUACAUGGAAUCACAUCUCCAUUUGAGAUUCUACAGAAGCCAGGACUUUGCAUCUCUCAUCAUAAUUACAUAUGCCCAUAUCAGCACAAGUGAGUGUAUAUGGGCUGGCUAGUAGGGCAUGAGCACAUUGAGGAUAGAUUUGUUCUCUCUCCUCAUAAAAGUGAAUUGGAUAAGAAUGAUAAAGCCUGUG